rnacentral:tRNA from 1 species
UCUCUGAUAGCUCAGCUGGUAAAGAAUCUGCCUGUAAUGCAGGAGAUCCUGGUUCGAUCCCUGGGUGGGGAA